rnacentral:rRNA from 1 species
AUUGAACGCUGGCGGCAUGCCUUACACAUGCAAGUCGAACGGUAACAGGUCUUCGGAUGCUGACGAGUGGCGAACGGGUGAGUAAUGCAUCGGAACGUGCCCAGUUGUGGGGGAUAACUGCUCGAAAGAGCAGCUAAUACCGCAUACGACCUGAGGGUGAAAGCGGGGGAUCGCAAGACCUCGCGCAAUUGGAGCGGCCGAUGUCAGAUUAGGUAGUUGGUGGGGUAAAGGCCUACCAAGCCGACGAUCUGUAGUUGGUCUGAGAGGACGACCAGCCGCACUGGGACUGAGACACGGCCCAGACUCCUACGGGAGGCAGCAGUGGGGAAUUUUGGACAAUGGGCGCAAGCCUGAUCCAGCCAUGCCGCGUGCGGGAAGAAGGCCUUCGGGUUGUAAACCGCUUUUGGCAGGAACGAAACGGCGCGAGUGAAUACCUCGCGCUAAUGACGGUACCUGCAGAAUAAGCACCGGCUAACUACGUGCCAGCCGCCGCGGUAACAC